CAGAGCGAUACGUUUCAACAGGAAGGCUUCAGACUGAGAUUUCAUUGACACCCACGAGCGAGUAUGCCAACAUAUAUAUGUUCACGUUGGGAACCUAACAGCGGGGAAGGUACCGAACUACUGCUGUAUACUUGGGAAGGAAUACGAUAACUGUCUUUGAAUCUUAGCCAGACAGCCAGCCGAAUAUCUGAUUACUAUUGUUGGUCACUCAUUUAUUUCACUCUGCCUUUACGUCACCUCAAGUUGCCCAGCAACAGAUGGCAAGCUACAGUGACGUGGCAGGACAUGUCAUACACAGGAUAACAUGGAAAUGCAUGUCAAAACACAGAGGCUGGAGCGUGGGGAGGUUCCAUGAAGAAUGCCAGAGAGCCAAGAUGUCACUGUUUCCUCCUCUGUUAUUCCCAGCUUGUGCUUCUGAAUAUCUUUGUGUUUCCUGUCAGCUGCAGCAAAGGUUGGCAAACUCUCUUUGUUUUCAUCUUUUUUU